rnacentral:rRNA from 1 species
CGGGACGGGUGAGUAAUGUCUGGGAAACUGCCUGAUGGAGGGGAUACACUGGAAACGGUAGCUAAUACCGCAUAACGUCGCAAGACCAAAGAGGGGGACCUUCGGGCCUCUUGCCAUCGGAUGUGCCCAGAUGGGAUUAGCUAGUAGGUGGGGUAACGGCUCACCUAGGCGACGAUCCCUAGCUGGUCUGAGAGGAUGACCAGCCACACUGGAACUGAGACACGGUCCAG